CGGCGAACGGGUGAGUAACACGUGGGCAACCUGCCCCUGACUCUGGGAUAAGCCCGGGAAACCGGGUCUAAUACCGGAUACGAACCCUCCAGGCAUCUGGUGGGUUGGAAAGAUUUAUCGGUCAGGGAUGGGCCCGCGGCCUAUCAGCUUGUUGGUGGGGUAAUGGCCCACCAAGGCGACGACGGGUAGCCGGCCUGAGAGGGCGACCGGCCACACUGGGACUGAGACACGGCCCAGACUCCUACGGGAGGCAGCAGUGGGGAAUCUUGCACAAUGGGCGAAAGCCUGAUGCAGCGACGCCGCGUGAGGGAUGACGGCCUUCGGGUUGUAAACCUCUUUCAGCAGGGACGAAGCGAAAGUGACGGUACCUGCAGAAGAAGGACCGGCCAACUACGUG
rnacentral:rRNA from 1 species